rnacentral:rRNA from 1 species
GAUGAACGCUGGCGGCGUGCCUAAUACAUGCAAGUCGAGCGAACAGACGAGGAGCUUGCUCCUCUGACGUUAGCGGCGGACGGGUGAGUAACACGUGGAUAACCUACCUAUAAGACUGGGAUAACUUCGGGAAACCGGAGCUAAUACCGGAUAACAUGUUGAACCGAAUGGUUCAACAGUGAAAGACGGUUUUGCUGUCACUUAUAGAUGGAUCCGCGUCGCAUUAGCUAGUUGGUAAGGUAACGGCUUACCAAGGCAACGAUGCGUAGCCGACCUGAGAGGGUGAUCGGCCACACUGGAACUGAGACACGGUCCAGACUCCUACGGGAGGCAGCAGUAGGGAAUCUUCCGCAAUGGGCGAAAGCCUGACGGAGCAACGCCGCGUGAGUGAAGAAGGUCUUCGGAUCGUAAAACUCUGUUAUUAGGGAAGAACAAAUGUGUAAGUAACUAUGCACGUCUUGACGGUACCUAAUCAGAAAGCCACGGCUAACUACGUG